rnacentral:rRNA from 1 species
UUACCUACGGGACGCAGCAGUGAGGAAUAUUGGUCAAUGGACGAGAGUCUGAACCAGCCAAGUAGCGUGAAGGAUGACUGCCCUAUGGGUUGUAAACUUCUUUUGUCAGGGAGCAAUUGGGUCCACGCGUGGGCUUAGCGAGAGUACCUGAAGAAAAAGCAUCGGCUAACUCCGUGCCAGCAGCCGCGGUAAUACGGAGGAUGCGAGCGUUAUCCGGAUUUAUUGGGUUUAAAGGGUGCGUAGGCGGAAUAUCAAGUCAGCGGUAAAAAUUCGGGGCUCAACCCCGUCGUGCCGUUGAAACUGAU